UACAGAGGGGGCAAGCGUUAUUCGGAAUUAUUGGGCGUAAAGGGCGCGUAGGCGGCUUUGCAAGUGGCGGGUGAAAUCCCUCGGCUUAACCGAGGAACUGCCUGCCAGACUGUGAGGCUUGAGACCGGGAGAGGUGAGUGGAAUUCCCAGUGUAGCGGUGAAAUUCGUAGAUAUUCGCAAGAACACCAGUGGCGAAGGCGGCUCACUGGUCCGGUACUGACGCUGAGGUGCGAAAGCGUGGGGAGCAAACAGG
rnacentral:rRNA from 1 species